GCAGAGUAGAGUUAUGUGCGUUAAGUGCUAAAUGAACAGGGAGUUGUCAUUUGGACGAAAAGUUUUCUUGCGGUACAUAGUUCGCAUCCCGCUGC
rnacentral:ncRNA from 1 species